CGCGUAGGCGGCUUUAUAAGUCGGGGGUGAAAGCCUGUGGCUCAACCACAGAAUUGCCUUCGAUACUGUAGAGCUUGAGACCGGAAGAGGUAAGUGGAACUGCGAGUGUAGAGGUGAAAUUCGUAGAUAUUCGCAAGAACACCAGUGGCGAAGGCGGCUUACUGGUCCGGUUCUGACGCUGAGGCGCGAAAGCGUGGGGAGCAAACA
rnacentral:rRNA from 1 species